UACGAAGGGGGCUAGCGUUGUUCGGAUUUACUGGGCGUAAAGCGCACGUAGGCGGGUCGUUAAGUCAGGGGUGAAAUCCUGGAGCUCAACUCCAGAACUGCCUUUGAUACUGGCGAUCUUGAGUUCGGGAGAGGUGAGUGGAACUCCGAGUGUAGAGGUGAAAUUCGUAGAUAUUCGGAAGAACACCAGUGGCGAAGGCGGCUCACUGGCCCGAUACUGACGCUGAGGUGCGAAAGCGUGGGGAGCAAACAGG
rnacentral:rRNA from 1 species